AAGGUCAUGAGCACUGAAUUUCUUUGCUCGCAAGGCCACAUCGCUGAAAUGCUUUUGACCACGGAUGUACUGGCACUGGUACGAAGGCGAUCAUGAGCAAGGUCGGUGCGGUAUCGCCACGGCCUUUUUUUGC
rnacentral:sRNA from 1 species